UUUACUGCCGAUCUCUGUAAGUUCUAAAUAACUGCAAAUUUGACCUAUAAACGCCGCGGAACGGUAUAUUUUUUUUCGUGUUUUUAAUAAGUGCUUAGAACGAACUUUCAAAUAAUACCAGUGAUUUGUUUGAACGGGAAUUAGUAAAUUACUUGGAGGGCAAAAGCUUCCUGGACCCGGGAGAGCUUGGUAUCUGAUCGGCGGGGGGCAUUUUCUCUAUAUAAGAAGAAGAUGGAGACUCGCUACCCACCCGAUAUAUUUUGUCGGACAGAUUUCUGUACAUUGCAGUGACAACUGUAUCCAGAUUUCAUCACAGGAAUGAAAGUUUUUCACUCUUUGGAAAAGCACCUGCAGCAGGGAGGGGACAUUCAUUAAGAUGGCCACAGAUUCCAAGACACUGAAGUGACAGGCCUCAAAUUUCAUACAUGUAUAUUGGUAAGUAUAAGGUCUUUGAAAAUUACAAAAUUGACUAAUUCUGGGAUAGGUAAAUAUGUAAGUAUAGGAAAAAGAGCACCAAAGACCCAGAUUUUGACAUCAUUUCCUGGUUGAACAAGAUGAAGCAGAGUAAUAAAUGGGUAGGCUUUACCUGAUUGGCUGAAUUGAGGUAUGUAAAUAUUUUCAUUUUAAAGUA